UACGUAGGGUGCGAGCGUUAAUCGGAAUUACUGGGCGUAAAGCGUGCGCAGGCGGUUCGUUGUGUCUGAUGUGAAAGCCCCGGGCUCAACCUGGGAAUGGCAUUGGAAACUGGCGAGCUAGAGUGUGGCAGAGGGGGGUGGAACUCCGCGUGUAGCAGUGAAAUGCGUAGAGAUGCGGAGGAACACCGAUGGCGAAGGCAGCCCCCUGGGCUAGCACUGACGCUCAGGCACGAAAGCGUGGGGAGCAAACAGG
rnacentral:rRNA from 1 species